rnacentral:rRNA from 1 species
UACGUAGGAGACGAGCGUUGUUCGGAGUUACUGGGCGUAAAGGGUGUGUAGGCGGUUGUUUAAGUUUGGUGUGAAAUCUCCCGGCUCAACUGGGAGGGUGCGCCGAAUACUGAGUGACUAGAGUGCGGGAGAGGAAAGUGGAAUUCCUGGUGUAGCGGUGAAAUGCGUAGAUAUCAGGAGGAACACCGGUGGUGUAGACGGCUUUCUGGACCGUAACUGACGCUGAGACACGAAAGCGUGGGUAGCAAACAGG